rnacentral:lncRNA from 1 species
UUUCUUUCCUUUCUACCUUUAAUUUACCCAUAAUGAUGGGCAAGCCCAAUACCCAGUCCGUUUACCUUUUGUUGGCCUUAGUGUAGAAUCAACUGGCUUGAUUAGCCUACUUUUUCUUAAGCCAUAGUCAUUUACCGUAUCUAGGUUAAGUAUAACCCUGGAAAACAGUACAUUCUAGGGAUUCAAAAUAAAAGUCAAAUCUCUACCUUUAUAAAAUUUCCAUCUUACUGAGAAGAUAUAUUUCCUCAACUAAAAAAAUCUAUAAUCAAGGAAUACACAAUGCCCAGCAGAAGUAUGACGCUUGUAAAUUUUCCAGUGGAGUAGAGACAUCAGAAAGGUUCCAGAGAGAAAGAGCUCUUGAUGCUCCAAUGGUGAGUAGGAGUCGUCCAGAACAUAGGUAGGGCCUGCGGGAACUCAGGCUUGCAAAGGUUGUCCAGUAAGCAAGCAGGUUGUAGGUCUGGAAAACAGUGAGCAACCCCUGUGAAAGAGACCUUCAACCCACAAAGGAUUCAUGACCCACAGGUUGAGAACCACUGAUCUAGACCAUGAGAGGUCUGUCUUCAUCAGCUAUACACUGGGCAAUCCCAAAAAGCGCCUCAUGUAACUACCCGCCCCCCCCCCGCCCCCGUAGCUCUUAGUGAUACUAUUUUCAUUUAUUAUAUGAGAAAUCCCAGCCUUAAAUGGGCUAGGCAUGCUCAGGAUCUCACAGCUAGUACGUGGCAAAGUUAAAUUCAGUCUCAGCUUCUCUUUCCCCAAGCCCAGUGCUCUUCCGCCAGGCCCAGCCUUCUCCCUAGGCAAGAGAAACAAGUAAUGGAGUGUAGAGGUUCAUCCUGAGGUGGCAGUGCAGUGGCAAAGUGCGGCAGAUAUCAAAUGCAUUAUGGGGGACACACUGAGAGGACAAUACCAACAGAGAGCCUCAGGAAGCAAUGGAACCACCUUCUCUCUUGUUCAUCAACCAGGCAGGAAUCCAAGCUCUUGUAGAGGGUGAUGGGCCGCAACUGACCUGUUCUUGUUUUUGUUUUUUCGGAGUUGGAUUCAGUAUUAUUUUUCCUUGUUCUUAAGACAUCUACCCAGUUUGUUUUCACACUUGAAACACCAGAUAUAGUUCCAAGCCUCUUGCAGAGGGAGUCCCCUGUGGCCUCCCCCUUUCAUCUGUCUCCACUAGGGUGCCCUGUUUCCUUUCCACAUCAAACACUCAUCAUGUGAAGCUUGAAACCAAAUCUAUUGGCAGACAAUUUCUGAAGCUGGAAGAUGGUUUAUCUCUCCCGCAGCUGUCAUUAGCGUAGUGUUUCAUCUUUUGCCUGGACCCAUGCUCUAGUAUAGAAUGGCAUUGAAAAAGCCAUUACCCUCUUUGCUCACACGGAGGGUGGAUUAACUGAAAUUCAUGUUCUAAAUAGCAUUGCAAUAUGGAGUUGUAACAUUCUUGGUGUUGUUUAGCAAAGAUCAUAGGUAGCAAUCAGAAGGAGAACUCAGAAAUCAGCCUUGCCCAUCACAGCAGGUGUGCUUGUGUUUUGAAACUCUACCAUUAUGGCUUGAAUAGGAAUUGUCCGCAAAAACCUCCUGGUGAAGUGGUCAGUCCCCCGGGGGUGGUGCUGUUCCAGAGGUCCUGGAAAUGAUAGGAAAUGGAGCAAUUUGGUGAAAGUAGUUCAUUGGACAUGUGUCCUUCUGCUGUAUCUAGUCACAGGCUCCUUUUGGUCUCUCCCUCACUACUUUUUGUUUACUAUGAGGUAAAGACCCUCUGCUGUAAACAAACAAAAAAAAAUCAUUAUGAAUUCAAUAAAAGUUAGUCACUGUAUACUAAGUUACAUAGUAAGUGAUGCAAUCUUAUACUAUGUUGUACAAUAGAAUGACUGUGGAAAAUAAUAAUGAUGUCUUGUAUAUAUUUUUAAAAGCUAGAAAAAAAUCUUUCAUGUUAUAUUUAAGUGUUUCAUACAAUUUAUUUUGAUAGUAUGAUGUCCCUUCCCCCAACUCCUCCCAGACCUUCUCUAUCUCCCUGCUCAUUCAACUUCAUUCCCCCUCUCAAAAAGUGAAUAUUAAAACAAAUAAGUAAUAGGCC